rnacentral:misc_RNA from 1 species
AAGUCGUAACAAGGUUUCCGUAGGUGAACCUGCGGAAGGAUCAUUACCAAUUCGAAAAAUGUGGAGGGUGUUUGCAAAAACACCAGCCCAACCAACCCCUGAUUGUGAACCACAGAGAAUUAAAAAUCAAGUCUCCCCUUUGCGUUUUAAUGCGUGGGGGGGGAGCAAUUUUUAUCCAACCCCUUGACAAAAUCUGCAUCUCGUAUGUGGAGAAAAAAGCAAGCGUUGAGCUCCGAGAAAAAAAUGAAACAAAAAUGUCAUGUACAACUUUUAACGGCGGAUCUCUUGGCUCGU